CGCCGAAGAAGAGCCAGGUGAGCGCGUAGGCGAGCACGAAGAAGAGCAGGCUGAGGCGCCACUGCAGGUCGGCCAGCGUGGUGAACAGGGCAAGGACACGUGCAAAUAUCCCUUUUCAGCCUGCUUCCCCGGGCGUGCAGAUCAAACAAGGCAAAAGAAAUAGAAGGGCUUUAAGUGUAUUUUGUUAACAGCGAAAAGUCUAGAAACAACCCAAACUUUCGACGGAGAGAAGAGCCCAGGUUAGGCUUAAAACCGUUCAUCCAACAAACUUCCGUGGAGGCCAAGGCCUGGGCAGUGUGCUGGGUGGGGGAUGGUUACAGAGAUGACUUGGUCUCUGCACACCUGGAGCUCACGGUCCAGCGGGGGGACAAAGAUGUGCAGACACGUCACGGUAACGUCACUGCCGGUCAUUCAUCGAGCGGUGGCUGUGGACUAGAGGACUCAUCUGACAGCCCACACAGGGACCCCACGAGCUGGGUCUGAUCUCCAUUUACAGAUGAGAAGCUGAAACAGAGAAAGAUGAUUUGCCAGAUGUCACAGAGGCAGAGACGGUGGUUAGACUCACCCCAGGGUGUCCCUGCCACACCGCGGGCUCGUCACAAAACCACGGGACCUCGGGAACGCAAUAGGUGUGAUGUGGGGACAUAAUCAGCUGCUAUGUUCACAUAUGAAAAUGUGUGCAGAGACACAGUCUUGCAGGAAAAAGCAGCACGCACAGCCAUUCUUGAAAGGCAAAGACCAUUUGGAAAGAACUUCCUCAGAGACUUCUCCCUCACCAGAAGGUAUCUCUUCUGCUCCUGCCCUUGGGUUCCUUCCUCCCUGAGUGUCAGAAAGCUUGGACUGUGCCCAGUAAGCAAGGGGCACCCUGUUUGGGGUUUGACAGAAGAACACAGGGACUGACAUGAUGAUGACAGGCUGCCUCUUCCUUUGAGAAUGCAGGAAAGGGUGAAGGGUAGGUCCAGGUCCUGGGCUGUUAGUGACCUUCCUGAUUCUGGUAGUGGCCUUGAAAUAGAAAGGGACAUCCAAGAGAAAUACAGCAUAGGGAGACCUGGCAGGACUUGGUCGCUUAGCUGACAUGUCAAGGGCUGGGGGAGAGGGAGGGGUGAAGAGGAGAGGUCACUUCGGUUUUAAAAUCUGUUUGGCCUGGAGAAACACAGAAAUAAAGAAGUCACGAGGCUCGAGGAGGAAGAUGGUGAGUUCGGUCUGGGGCCUGCCCGGUGGAAGUGGAAAUCCCCCGCCAGCAGCUGGACCCGUGAGGCUCUAGGGAAAGCCUCAGGAUGAAGAUAGAGGUUUGCAUGGGAUCAGUGAUGGUCGCCGGAGCCAUGUCAGCGAUGAAGGCUGGACAUCAGACACAGGGAGAACAAGGACACAGGGAGAACAGAGGACGGAGCCUUCCAUGCUGGAGGAGGGAGCUGCAGCAGGUUCGGGCGUGCAGGGCCAGUGGUGGCGGAUGAGGCUGGAAUGGUCCCGGGUCUAGGUUGUGGCCCAGACCACAGCCCAGUGAUGCAGCAGAGAGGAAGGGGACAGGCCCAAGGGGCUUCACAAAGUCCAUGCACUGAUUAGAGAAGAUGAGGGGAGGGAGGAUGAAGGUUCUGGGCUUGCUGUCUGGUUUCCCUGCAGACCUUCUGGCUUGCCUCCAGAUUUACCUUCCUAAAAUUCAGCUAUGACUUCAUCCUUGGGUCAAGAGCCUCCGUGGACCUCCUUGGCCUCCAGAAGCUCAGAGCUCACCCUGAACUGCACAUUCCUCUCUGUACUCCAGCUCUUCCCCCAACACAGACACUCUGCCUGUGGUACCCGCCCCUGUCGCCCACUGCCCUCCCUGAGGGGCAGCCUGUGUGCCCUGUACAUUUCUCAUCCUAUGGCUUUUAGAAACAAAACUAAACUAACAAUGUCAAGUUUCUUAGUUUGUGUUUCCCCCCCCCCCCCAAGAUGUAUAUCAACUCAGUACG